AGUGAACGCUGGCGGCGUGCCUAAUACAUGCAAGUCGAACGGAGUGGCGCACGGGUGAGUAAUAUAUAGCUAACUUCCUCAUUACUAUGGGACAACAGUUGGAAACGACUGCUAAUACCUUAUAGUAAUGGAUAGGGCUAUAUCGUAUCCACUAGUUGGUAAGGUAACGGCUUACCAAGGCUAUGACGCGUAAAUGGUCUGAGAAGAUGUUCAGUCACACUGGAACGGAGACACGGUCCAGACUCCUACGGGAGGCGGCAAUAGGGAAUAUUGCUCAAUGGGGGAAACACUGAAACAAGAACGCCGCGUAGAGGAUGACACUUUUAGGAGCGUAAACUCCUUUUCUUGAGAAAGCGGUACCAAAAGAAUAAGCACCGGCUAACUCCGUGCCAGCAGCCGCGGUAAUUC
rnacentral:rRNA from 1 species